UGGGGAAUAUUGGACAAUGGGGGCAACCCUGAUCCAGCCAUGCCGCGUGUGUGAAGAAGGCCUUUUGGUUGUAAAGCACUUUAAGCAGGGAGGAGAGGCUAAUGGUUAAUACCCAUUAGAUUAGACGUUACCUGCAGAAUAAGCACCGGCUAACUCUGUGCCAGCAGCCGCGGUAAUACAGAGGGUGCGAGCGUUAAUCGGAAUUACUGGGCGUAAAGCGAGUGUAGGUGGCUCAUUAAGUCACAUGUGAAAUCCCCGGGCUUAACCUGGGAACUGCAUGUGAUACUGGUGGUGCUAGAAUAUGUGAGAGGGAAGUAGAAUUCCAGGUGUAGCGGUGAAAUGCGUAGAGAUCUGGAGGAAUACCGAUGGCGAAGGCAGCUUCCUGGCAUAAUAUUGACACUGAGAUUCGAAAGCGUGGGUCAGCAAAACAGGAUUAGAUACCCUGGGUAGUCCACGCCGUAAACGAUGUCUAC
rnacentral:rRNA from 1 species